rnacentral:rRNA from 1 species
GAUUCCCCUAGUAACUGCGAGUGAAGCGGGAAAAGCUCAAAUUUAAAAUCUGGCGGUCUUUGGCCGUCCGAGUUGUAAUCUAGAGAAGUGUUACCCGCGCCGGACCGUGUAUAAGUCUCCUGGAAUGGAGCGUCAUAGAGGGUGAGAAUCCCGUCUUUGACACGGACUCCCGGGGCAUUUGUGGUGCGCUCUCAAAGAGUCGAGUUGUUUGGGAAUGCAGCUCAAAAUGGGUGGUAAAUUCCAUCUAAAGCUAAAUAUUGGCGAGAGACCGAUAGCGAACAAGUACCGUGAGGGAAAGAUGAAAAGAACUUUGGAAAGAGAGUUAAACAGUACGUGAAAUUGCUGAAAGGGAAACGCUUGGAGUCAGUCGCGUUGGCCGGAAAUCAACCCUGCUUCUGCUGGGUGUACUUUCUGGUCGACGGGCCAGCAUCAGUUUUGAUCGAUGGAAAAAGUCUAGGGGAAUGUGGCANCUCCGGGUGUGUUAUAGCCCCUGGUCGUAUACAUCGGUUGGGACUGAGGAAUUCAGCACGCCGAAAGGCCGGGUUUCGACCACGUUCGUGCUUAGGAUGCUGGCAUAAUGGCUUUAAUCGACCCGUCUUGAAACACGGACCAAGGAGUCUAACAUGCCUGCGAGUGUUUGGGUGGAAAACUCGGACGCGCAAUGAAAGUGAAAGUCGGGAUCCUUGUCAUGGGGAGCACCGACGCCCGGACCAGACGUUUUCUGACGGAUCCGCGGUAAAGCAUGUAUGUUGGGACCCGAAAGAUGGUGAACUAUGCCUGAAUAGGGUGAAGCCAGAGGAAACUCUGGUGGAGGCUCGUAGC